GGACCAUCCUGGUGGGGAGGAUGGAGGGGAAUGAAAGUAUCAUCAUCUGCAAACUCAGACGUAGCAGAUGAUUGGCUGAAACUCGUCCCACACACAGUGCAGUGAGACGGUUUCUCUCCAGUGUGGAUCCUCUCGUGAAUCUCGAGACUCGGUUUUCAUGUGAAACUCUCGGCAGGUGUAACAUUUCUUGUCUCUUCUUUCCAGUAAAGAAAUGCUUUCAGUCUGUGA